rnacentral:rRNA from 1 species
AAACCUGCGAAACUCGAAUGAACGAACGGAGAGAUUCACCGUCAUUCCGCGGCGUACCCUUCCGCGCCUCGAUGUCUGCGCGCGCGCGUCUCACGGCGCGUCUGCGCGGGCACGGGUCGGACGGGUCGACGUUCUCGGAGGGCGUGCACUUCUCUCUUAGUAUGUGCGUCAGCACAAUAUACAUCGCGACCCGUUCGUGGUCGGUCUAACCGCGGUACGGGAGCCGGGCGGCCGCGCGUCUAAACAACGCCGGUCGCUCGACCGCGCCUAACGGUGGCCGGCCUACGGACGGUAUAUUUUAUGUAGGAAUCGCGCACGCGUUUCGACGCGUCAGGCCCGACGCAAGUGUCGCGUCACCGUCGACGUCCUGCCCAAGUGCGGACGCCGACGUGGCGCCGCUGUUGUCGCAGCCGUGUAGUCUCUGACUGUGCGCGUAUCCGUCUGCGAUGCUUCAGUUUCGGGCACUCGCAGGAC